CAGUGGCAGGGCCUUGAGCCUGCCAUCAAGGAGCUGCCCAAGGGGACCAGCGCCCCAAGUCUUGCUUUGAGAUCAGAAACCACCGUCAUGAAUGAGCGACUCUCCUAAUGGUCCUUCUCGGCCAGUGCUGGCAGACUGUGUCCAGUCAGCCUUCGAAGUGGGACAGAGCACGACCCUGUCUGGACCAUGUCGGCUGGGUCUGGGUGUCAACUGUCUGAAUGCUGGUGAGUGGGACAGCAGCUUUUCAGGACAUGCUGGUUGGGCCAAGUGUCAGCGUCUUUUAACACCAAACAAGAGAAGAAAGUGCACUGACGGUGGUGGAAGUAGCAUUACCUCGUGCUGCACGAAGCUCAGGCCUAAGUGGGUCAGUUCUGUGCUGGUGGCCAGUGUAGGUGGCGGCUCCUACACACAUCUGCAUAAAACCCUGAGGUACCUGAAUCCAUGGAUACUCCGAGGAUCCUUCAUGCUGCGGUCGGAGAUUCCAGAGCUCCCCUCAGGAUCUCCCUAGGUCCCCCGACUCUGAUGCGCUCCAUCA